ACACAUGCAAGUCGAGGGGCAGCAUGAUUGAAGCUUGCUUCAAUUGAUGGCGACCGGCGCACGGGUGAGUAACGCGUAUCCAACCUUCCGUACACUCAGGGAUAGCCUUUCGAAAGAAAGAUUAAUACCCGAUGGUAUGAUGAGAUUGCAUGAUAGCAUCAUUAAAGAUUUAUCGGUGUACGAUGGGGAUGCGUUCCAUUAGGUAGUAGGCGGGGUAACGGCCCACCUAGCCGACGAUGGAUAGGGGUUCUGAGAGGAAGGUCCCCCACAUUGGAACUGAGACACGGUCCAAACUCCUACGGGAGGCAGCAGUGAGGAAUAUUGGUCAAUGGACGAGAGUCUGAACCAGCCAAAUAGCGUGAAGGAUGAAGGUCCUACGGAUUGUAAACUUCUUUUAUAAGGGAAUAAAACCUCCCACGUGUGGGAGCUUGUAUGUACCUUAUGAAUAAGCAUCGGCUAACUCCGUGCCAGCAGCCGCGGUAAUACGGAGGAUGCGAGCGUUAUCCGGAUUUAUUGGGUUUAAAGGGAGCGCAGACGGGUCGUUAAGUCAGCUGUGAAAGUUUGGGGCUCAACCUUAAAAUUGCAGUUGAUACUGGCGUCCUUGAGUGCGGUUGAGGUGUGCGGAAUUCGUGGUGUAGCGGUGAAAUGCUUAGAUAUCACGAAGAACUCCGAUUGCGAAGGCAGCACACUAAGCCGUAACUGACGUUCAUGCUCGAAAGUGUGGGUAUCAAACAGGAUUAGAUACC
rnacentral:rRNA from 1 species